GGUGCACUUCAAGAAAACCUUCACUACUUCUCUCCACAGGCAGACCCAUGUGAUGUGAAUGAACAGAGAUGACAGACUUCUGUCUAAACGUACAGUUUCCCCGUGCCCCCGAUAAACAGAUCGCCCGUGCAUCUGAAGCAGAGUUUCAAAGCACCAGUUACACUAGGACUGUGUGUACCUAACGUUAGGAUUUUUUUCUUGUCUCUUCCUUAAAGUGUUCCCUCCCCCGGCCUCCCCCUCCCCCUCGGGCUCUUUCGUGGGAAUCGAUGCCGGGAGAAACUGCUUCUACCUGCAAGAAAGGCGCCGCUGGCACUUGGGGACGGGAGAGCUCCGCCGGCACCGGAUCACUGGAGGUAAACAUCGAAUUAAUUGGAUCUGAAUGACUGAGGCAGGACAGCGCUUUCAACCGGGGCUUUGUUCGAACUGUCUGGCUUGAAACACUGUUGCCCGGACCAGUCUGAAGGCGGAAGAUUGUCCAGACCGCGCUGGUGCCCGUCCCCUGGGGCAGGGCGCCUUUCCCUGCGGGUGGAGAAGGAUGCAGGGUCAGCUCCACAGAGGGAAGAGAGAGGAGACCGAAAGACAAAGCGCACGGACAUGUGCCUUCCAAGCACAACAGGACAGAGGAGCGCAUCCUGAGAGCUAGGAAACAUUUCUCAUCCAAAUGAAAAAAUAAUGCCCUCCUACUGCAUCUGCAAUUUCCUUUGCAACAAAAACAUGCGUAAAAUGGGCACGGUAGAUAGCAAAGACCUAUCAAUUUCUUUCUCUAGUUCUGCUAAUAAAUAAACUUCUAAAUGUUUGAAACACUCUAUCUGUCACAUUCACAAGAUAGGUACUGUAAAUUCCUGUUGCAAAUAUACAAACAGAGAUCCAAGAGGUUGCCUCUGUUUUUGUAUAUAUUUCUCUCAAGAAAUGCACUAUCAAAACAUUAAUUAUAUUUGAAAGGGAGCAGAUUAUUUGUUUGAGAAAGAAUUACAUUCUUGAAUUUAUAUUCCACGCAGAUCUCUCCUCCUAUCUGCCGAGAGGGUUGAACUGUAAAUCUGUCUCAAAUGAUGUACCCCUAAAAUGUAGGUAGGUGUGUCACAUUAGAGUUGUAGAGAGAUGGGAGAUAAUCUGUAGGUGCUUUUAGACACCUCUGUAGGAUGGAUCGUUAGGGAAUGUCGAAAUCAACAUGAAAUUGCAGAUCUUACAUGUGAAGAACAUACACCCUUAUUCUUUGACAAUGGAAAUACAAACACACAUAGGCACUCAGGGAUGAUCCUAGCUAGUUAUUAAACACUGUGACUCACGGGAGUUUGGGCCUACAGUUCCUGUUUAUUUUUAAAAUGCCACAUGCACAUCUUGCGGUAGCUGAUAGCUGAAAAGCUACCAGCCAUGUGAGUCAUCAACCAUCAUUUAAAGAUUUUGUCUUAUUUCCUGCU